rnacentral:tRNA from 1 species
GUCUCUGUGGCUCAGUUGGAAGAGCGUUGGUCUCAUAUUUCUAUGAAUAUGACUCAGGCAGCAAGCCAGGGACAUCCAAAGGUCGCAAGUUCGAGCCUUGCCAGGGACA